UAGUAAUUCUUAGGAAGAUAUACAUCUUUCACAGGGCCAUAGCGCUCAAAGGGGCCUCUAAGAUCUUCAGGCCUGCAUAUCCGUAAUCAUCCGCU